rnacentral:tRNA from 1 species
GGCUGGCUGGCUCAGUCGGUAGAGCAUGAGACUCUUAAUCUCUAGGUCAUAAGUUCGAGGCCCAUGUUGGGUG